AUACUUACCUUGUUUGGGCAACCGCGAUCAAGAAGGCGGUCUGCCGUGGAGGGGCUCCUACAUUGCACAUCGUGGCGAGCCUGGCCACUCAACAUCUUUCGGGGUUUUGACAGGCAUAUUCUUUGGCUCCUUCUCUGGGAUAUAUUUCCUAUAUAUCUCCCAGG
rnacentral:snRNA from 15 species